GGCUGCAUCGUCCUGCUCCAGCGCGCACACGAUCUGAAAGAAGGAGAGAGAUUUAACCUGGACGAGAGACAUCUUUAGAUUGAACUCAAGAUGAGGCAAGAAGAUCUGGCUGCAGACCUCAACGACCAGAUGUCCUCACAUGUCGCUCUAAAAAAAACUAUUUUAAAUGGUCACCAGAACAGUUUUUUUUUCAUUUUAAGCUUUAAUAAAACUUUUUUUUGAAUGAUUUUGGGUUAGAGUUGGGGUGAGUUGUGUAAUUCCCACUUUCACCCGAUGAUGUCAUGCACCAUCUCGUCUCCAGCCAGGUCCCUUUCAGAUGAGUUCCCAUUCAUUUCCAAGUUGAAGUGGAUUCAUCUGCUUCUUUUAUGGACAACUUUUCUCUAUGCUCAUGUGGUAAAGGAUAAUUGGCCUUAAACACAAGUGUUAACUGGCUUAGAUGGGACACUACCAAAUCUAAGGCCGUGGUUCUCAACCUGAAGAAAUACGUCCAAAACAAAGGAACAAUAGAGUGUGAACAAACGAUCACAUCAGUAGGAAUGGUUUUUUUAUGUUUUGGUGAGGAGAAAUCUGGGUUGGAAAAUGAAAUUCUUACCAGUCCUCCUCAUCUAUGGGCAUGAAUUAUGGGUUGAGUAGAAGAAAUCUAUCUUUGAGAUAAUGUGCAAAGCUAUCUUAAAUCUAUGAGAUUUAUCUCUGUGGGUUUAGGAACAUCUCUAUGUUCUCCUGGAAGAGGAGACUGUCUUUAUUCCUACCUGAACAUAAGCAGGACAAGACGAACAGAUAGACAAAAGUAAAGGAAACCUCUAAUAAUGAUUCAAAUUUCACAGUAUUUCAGUGAAGCGUUACAUACCUCUUCAGUGUAUUUCCCCACAUAGGAGUAAAUCUCACUUAGAGAGCUCAUGGAGUUGAACUCAUUCAUGUGCAUCCUUGACUGCUCAGCUAAGUAGGCGUUCAUAUCCUGGUCACUGAUAGCUGGCAUCUUAUUAAUGUCUGAGUAGUACCUGUAAAAAAAGAAA